ACUGGGCAGUUUCAAUGCUGUUCUUGUAUGGGACUAAAGUCCGUUCUGGUAACAGUCCCCUUUUGUAGGGCUAAGAGGGAACUGUUUCAGAGGAGAAAUGCCCACAGCACCUACACGAGACGCUGCACUGCAAAGGCUAACUCAGCGGUGAAGGUUGAGUACCGAGCAGGGUGGGCUCCUUGCUAAUUCCACAUUCAGUCACUAGAGGGCGAAGCACACAGGCGAAAGAAAAGCCCACCUGGAGCCCCAAUCCAAUCAGCCUUCAUUAGACGUCACUCAGGUGUUUUGGGGAAGUUUAUUUAUUUAGAGAAAAAGCAAGAGAUCACAG